rnacentral:rRNA from 1 species
UUUAAAUUGAGAGUUUGAUCCUGGCUCAGGACGAACGCUGGCGGCGUGCCUAACACAUGCAAGUCGAGCGAUGAAGCUCCUUCGGGAGUGGAAUAGCGGCGGACGGGUGAGUAACACGUGGGUAACCUGCCUCAUAGAGGGGAAUAGCCUUC